rnacentral:rRNA from 1 species
CCUACGGGAGGCAGCAGUGGGGAAUAUUGGGCAAUGGAGGAAACUCUGACCCAGCGACGCCGCGUGCGGGAUGAAGGCCUUCGGGUUGUAAACCGCUUUCAGUAGGGAAGAAGCGAAAGUGACGGUACCUACAAAAGAAGCACCGGCUAACUAUGUGCCAGCAGCCGCGGUAAUACAUAGGGUGCAAGCGUUGUCCGGAAUUAUUGGGCGUAAAGAGCUCGUAGGUCGUUUGUUACGUCGGAUGUGAAAACCUGAGGCUCAACCUCAGGCCUGCAUUCGAUACGGGCAAACUAGAGUUUGGUAGGGGAGACUGGAAUUCCUGGUGUAGCGGUGGAAUGCGCAGAUAUCAGGAGGAACACCAAUGGCGAAGGCAGGUCUCUGGGCCAAUACUGACACUGAGGAGCGAAAGUCUGGGGAGCGAACAGGAUUAGAUACCCUGGUAGUCCAGACCGUAAACGGUGGGCACUAGUUGUGGGAACCUUCCACGGUUUCUGCGACGCAGCUAACGCAUUAAGUGCCCCGCCUGGGGAGUACGAUCGCAAGAUUAAAACUCAAAAUGAAGUUAAGUACGGCGUUGAGACGUUGCCGAACGGACGACGACGAGGGAGGAGG